GGCGCUAUAGUGUAGUGGUUAUCACUCAGGAUUCUGAUACGAAGUUUCCUGUAACCCAGGUUCGAGCCCUGGUAGCGCCU
rnacentral:tRNA from 1 species